rnacentral:rRNA from 1 species
UACGUAGGGGGCAAGCGUUGUCCGGAAUCAUUGGGCGUAAAGCGCGCGUAGGCGGCCCGGUAAGUCCGCUGUAAAAGUCCAGGGCUCAACCCUGGAAAGCCGGUGGAAACUGUCGGGCUAGAGUCCGGAAGAGGCGAGUGGAAUUCCUGGUGUAGCGGUGGAAUGCGCAGAUAUCAAGGAGGAACACCGAUGGCGAAGGCAGCUCGCUGGGACGGUACUGACGCUGAGGCGCGAAAGCUAGGGGAGCAAACGGG